GUUAUGUGUAUUGAUAGUAGAAUUAUUUUUCUAUAUAUGUGGAAAUUUUGAGAUCAAUUGAAUGGUACAAAAAAAAGAUGUUAGCUUUGAAAGAUUAGCAUCAAGGUUGGAGAAAGAGGCCAGCCAACAUCCAAGAAGAUUUUAGGAUUUUUCUUUUAUUUGUUAAAUGGGAUUGUCUUCAAAUUUGUUGUAGUUGUUUGUAAGUAAGAUAUUGAGAGGCAUAUAAAAUUUUAAACAAUAUCAAUGAUUUAAACAAAAGAUAUUGAGGUUCUAAACUACCUUAGGAUUUGGUUUAGGGUUUGGGAUUUGGUUAGGGUUUGAUUUAGGAUUUAGGAUUUAGUUUAGGAUUUAGGGUUUAUUUAGGCUUUUAUUGAAGUCCAUCAGGAUUCAAUUAGGAUUAAAUUAGAACUUGGUUGAGAUUUAUUUAAGACAUAUUGUGAUUAUUUUAAUAUUUUUUAGGACUUCUUAAGGAUUUUUUUAAGGUUUAUUGUGGAUUAUCUUUCAACUCCUUUAAGAUUUCUUAUUGUUUCUUUUAUAAUUUCUUUAAGGUUUCUUUUGAAUUUGUUUAAAGCAUGUUUAACAUUGUUAAGAUUUAAUUAGAGAUAAUUUAAUAUUUUAUUAGAAUUAGAAUUUUUUAUUGUAAUUUCUAUUCUACCUUCCAUAGCCAGGUGUUUGGUGUACUCUCAAGCAACACUUCACAUAAUACAACAACAUGGCUA
rnacentral:lncRNA from 1 species